UGGCUCAGAGUGAACGCUGGCGGCGUGCUUAACACAUGCAAGUCGAACGGACUUAAGGGGCUUGCUUCUUAAGUUAGUGGCGCACGGGUGAGUAAUAUAUAGCUAACCUGCCCUUUAGUGGGGGACAACAGUUGGAAACGACUGCUAAUACCCUAUACUCCUUCUUACUAUAAGGUAAGUUGGGAAAGAUUUAUCGCUAAAGGAUGGGGCUUUAUUGUAUCAGCUAGUUGGUGGGGUAAUGGCCUACCAAGGCUAUGACGCAUACCUGGUCUGAGAGGAUGAUCAGGCACACUGGAACUGAGACACGGUCCAGACUCCUACGGGAGGCAGCAGUGGGGAAUAUUGCACAAUGGAGGAAACUCUGAUGCAGCAACGCCGCGUGGAGGAUGACGCAUUUCGGUGUGUAAACUCCUUUUAUAGGGGAAGAUAAUGACGGUACCCUAUGAAUAAGCACCGGCUAACUCCGUGCCAGCAGCCGCGGUAAUACGGAGGGUGCAAGCGUUACUCGGAAUCACUGGGCGUAAAGGAUGCGUAGGCUGGAAAUCAAGUCGAGAGUGAAAUCCAACGGCUCAACCGUUGAACUGCUCUCGAAACUGGUUACCUAGAAUAUGGGAGAGGUAGAUGGAAUUAGUGGUGUAGGGGUAAAAUCCGUAGAUAUCACUAGGAAUACCGAUUGCGAAGGCGAUCUACUGGAACAUUAUGA
rnacentral:rRNA from 1 species